CUUGAGUAUGAAAGGAGGGGUUAGUAUUCCCCUUGAUAAGGUUGAAAGAGGUCCCAGUGGCCUUUGCGACAUAUUUGGUGAAGGCAUUGCCAACUACUUUGUGUCAUCUAAUCUAACCAUAAA